rnacentral:rRNA from 1 species
UACAGAGGUCUCAAGCGUUGUUCGGAUUCAUUGGGCGUAAAGGGUGCGUAGGUGGCGCCGUAAGUCGGGUGUGAAAUUUCGGAGCUUAACUCCGAAACUGCAUUCGAUACUGCGGUGCUUGAGGACUGGAGAGGAGACUGGAAUUCAUGGUGUAGCAGUGAAAAUGCGUAGAGAUCAUGAGGAAGACCAGUGGCGAAGGCGGGUCUCUGGACAGUUCCUGACACUGAGGCACGAAGGCCAGGGGAGCAAACGGGG